AGUGAAGCGGCAACAGCUCAAAUUUGAAAUCUGGCUCUUUAAGGGUCCGAGUUGUAAUUUGUAGAGGAUGCUUUUGGCGCGGUGCCUUCCGAGUUCCCUGGAACGGGACGCCUUAGAGGGUGAGAGCCCCGUACGGUUGGACACCAAGCCUCUGUAAAGCUCCUUCGACGAGUCGAGUAGUUUGGGAAUGCUGCUCUAAAUGGGAGGUAAAUUUCUUCUAAAGCUAAAUAUUGGCCAGAGACCGAUAGCGCACAAGUAGAGUGAUCGAAAGAUGAAAAGCACUUUGAAAAGAGGGUUAAAUAGCACGUGAAAUUGUUGAAAGGGAAGCGUUUGCGACCAGACCUUUUCCUAGCGGAUCAUCCGGUGUUCUUCGCCGGUGCACUUCGCUAGGUCGAGGCCAGCAUCGGUUUCUGUAGGGGGAUAAAAGCUCAGGGAACGUAGCUCCUUCGGGAGUGUUAUAGCCCUCCGCAUAAUACCCUUACGGGGACCGAGGACCGCGCUUUUUGCAAGGAUGCUGGCGUAAUGGUCGUCAACGACCCGUCUUGAAACACGGACCAAGGAGUCGAACAUUUGUGCGAGUGUUUGGGUGUUAAACCCUCACGCGUAAUGAAAGUGAACGGAGGUGAGAGCCCUUACGGGUGCAUCAUCGACCGAUCCUGAUGUCUUCGGAUGGAUUUGAGUAAGAGCAUAACUGUUCGGACCCGAAAGAUGGUGAACUAUGCGUGGAUAGGGUGAAGCCAGAGGAAACUCUGGUGGAGGCUCGCAGCGGUUCUGACGUGCAAAUCGAUCGUCAAAUCUGCGCAUGGGGGCGAAAGACUUAUCGAACCAUCUAGUAGCUGGUUACCGCCGAAGUUUCCCUCAGGAUAGCAGUGUUGUUCUUCAGUUUUAUGAGGUAAAGCGAAUGAUUAGGGACUCGGGGGCGCUUUUUAGCCUUCAUCCAUUCUCAAACUUUAAAUAUGUAAGAAGCCCUUGUUACUUAAUUGAACGUGGGCAUUCGAAUGUACCAACACUAGUGGGCCAUUUUUGGUAAGCAGAACUGGCGAUGCGGGAUGAACCGAACGCGGGGUUAAGGUGCCGGAGUGGACGCUCAUCAGACACCACAAAAGGUGUUAGCACAUUUAGACAAUAGGACGGUGGCCAUGGAAGUCGGAAUCCGCUAAGGACUGUGUAACAACUCACCUAUCGAAUGUGCUAGCCCUGAAAAUGGAUGGCGCUCAAGCGUCCCACCCAUACCUCGCCCUCAGGGUAGAAACGAUGCCCUGAGGAGUAGGCGGCCGUGG
rnacentral:rRNA from 1 species